GUUGGAAUCUUCCGCAAUGGGCGAAAGCCUGACGGAGCGACGCCGCGUGAGGGAUGAAGGCCUUCGGGUUGUAAACCUCUAUUAAAAAGGGACGGCUAACUACGUGCCAGCAGCAGCGGUAAUACGUAGGUCCCGAGCAUUAUCCGGUGUUAUUAGGCGUAAAGAGUUCUGUAGGCGGUUUUACAAGUUAAGGGUUAGAGCCUGGUGCUCAACACCAGAAAAGCUUUUAAUACUGUAAAACUAGACAUAUGGAGGGGAAGCUGGAAUUUGUGGAGGAGUAGUGAAAUGCGUUGAUCUCACAAAGAACACCAAAGGCGUAGGCAAGCUUCUGGCCAUAUUGUGACGCUGAGAGACGAAAGCGUGGGGAGCGAAAAGGAUUAGAUACCCUUGUAGUCCACGCCGUAAACUAUGGAUACUAGAUUGUCGUUUGCCUUUUUGGCAGGUGACAGUCGUAGCUAACGCGUUAAGUAUCCCGCCUGGGAAGUACGAUCGCAAGAUUAAAACUCAAAGAAAUUGACGGGGUUCCGCACAAGCGGUGGAGCGUGUGGUUUAAUUCGAUGCUAACCGAAGAACCUUACCCAGGUUUGACAUGUUUCUGCUAACCCCGAGAAAUCGGGGCUCCUUCGAGGGUGAAACACAGAUGUUGCAUGGCUGUCGUCAGCUCGUGCCGUGAGGUGUAUCCUUAAGUGGAAUAACGAGCGCAACCCCUAUUGUUAGUUGUAUCACUCUAGCAAGACUGCCCGGGCAACCGGGAGGAAGGUGGGGAUGACGUCAAGUCGGCAUGGCUCUUACGCCUGGGGCUACACACGCGCUACAAUGGCCGGUACAACGGGCUGCAACACGGUGACGUGAAGCGAAUCCCUUAAAGCCGGUCUCAGUUCGGAUUGAAGUCUGCAACUCGACUUCAUGAAGUUGGAAUCGCUAGUAAUCGCAAGUCAGCUAUAUUGCGGUGAAUACGUUCUCGGAACUUGUACACACCGCCCGUCAAGUGGGUAAAGUUGGAAAUGCCCGAAGUCCCUAGGUCAUCCAGGGCCGAAGGCAGGUUCAGCGAUAAACAC
rnacentral:rRNA from 1 species